UGGGGAAUAUUGCACAAUGGACGGAAGUCUGAUGCAGCAACGCCGCGUGCGGGAUGACGGCCUUCGGGUUGUAAACCGCUUUUUCUCAUGACGAAGUUUUUUGACGGUAGUGGGGGAAGAAGCACCGGCUAACUACGUGCCAGCAGCCGCGGUGAUACGUAGGGUGCGAGCGUUGUCCGGAAUUAUUGGGCGUAAAGAGCUUGUAGGCGGUUUGUCGCGUCGAUAGUGCAAACUCAGUGCUUAACGCUGAGCCUGCUGUUGAUACGGGCAGACUAGAGGAAGGUAGGGGAGAAUGGAAUUCCCGGUGGGGCGGUGGAAUGCGCGGAUAUCGGGAGGAACACCGGUGGCGAAGGCGGUUCUCUGGGCCUUUCCUGACGCUGAGAAGCGAAAGCGUGGGGAGCGAACAGG
rnacentral:rRNA from 1 species